rnacentral:rRNA from 1 species
UCUUCCCUCUGGCGGCGUGCCUAAUACAUGCAAGUCGAGCGGCAGCGAGUUUUACACUGAAUUCUGGAAGCUUCUAGUUGCAAGAGAAGAUUUAUUCAAGAAUCUUGUGUAAAAUGUCGGCGAGCGGCGGACGGCUGAGUAACGCGUGGGAACGUACCCCAAAGUGAGGGAUAACGCAUCGAAAGGUGUGCUAAUACCGCAUAUGGUCUUCGUCUUAAAGCCUUCGGGCGAUUUGGGAACGGCCUGCGUAAGAUUAGAUAGUUGGUAGGGUAAUGGCCUACGAGUGCGUCGAUCGCUACCCUGGUGCAGAGGCUGAGCAGUGAGUCUGGAACUGAGACACGGUACAGAAUCCUACGGGAGGCAGCAGUGAGGAAUGUACCACAAUGGGCUAAAGGAUGAUGGUGCAACGACGCGUGAAGGAUGUAAGCAUUCGGGUUGUAAACUGCUUGUAUAUGUGAGGAUUAUGACAGUAACUAAUGAAUAAGGAUCGGCUAACUACGUG